AUACGGAGGGGGCUAGCGUUGUUCGGAAUUACGGGGCGUAAAGGGCGCGUAGGCGGACUAUCAAGUCAGGGGUGAAAGGCCUGGGAUCAACCCGGGAACUGCCUUUGAAACUGAAAGUCUAGAGACCGAGAGAGGAUAGCGGAAUUCCCAGUGUAGAGGUGAAAUUCGUAGAUAUUGAGAAGAACACCAGUGGCGAAGGCGGCUAUCUGGCUCGGUACUGACGCUGAGGCGCGAAAGCGUGGGGAGCAAACAGGAUUAGAAACCCCAGUAGUCC
rnacentral:rRNA from 1 species